CUUGUAGAUUAUCCCUAUGAUUGCUCAAGUGCUCAUAACGAUUGUUGUCUCAUCUCUGUGGCUGCAAGGUCAUUCCCAGGAUGUGAUUCAAUACCCUGAAAUCAGCUGGGGUUUCCUCAACAAAGCUGCAGAGAUGAACUGCAGCCACAGCAAAGAUAUACGUUAUACUCAGAUGUACUGGUACAUUCAAAGACCAGGAGAGACCAUGAGGCUCAUUGUCUACACAGUAUUUCGUGGGAACCCGGACUAUGGCGGGGCGCCUGAAAACAAAUAUUCAGCCAUUAAAGAAGCCAUUGAGAACGGAGCUCUUACUGUGAAUAACUUGCAGCAGAAUGACAGCGGUGUGUAUUUUUGUGCUGUCAGCAUGCACUGUGGUGUGAGAAGUAGGAGAAGCUGUACAAAAACUGCCUGA